rnacentral:rRNA from 1 species
GACGUAGGGUGCGAGCGUUGUCCGGAUUUAUUGGGCGUAAAGAGCUCGUAGGCGGCUCGUCGCGUCGACCGUGAAAACCUGCAGCUUAACUGUGGGCUUGCGGUCGAUACGGGCAUCACUGGAGUUCGGCAGGGGAGACUGGAAUUCCUGGUGUAGCGGUGGAAUGCGCAGAUAUCAGGAGGAACACCGGUGGCGAAGGCGGGUCUCUGGGCAGUAACUGACGCUGAGGAGCGAAAGCGUGGGGAGCGAACAGG